AAGUGCUGGGCAAUCUUGGGUGCUGCAGCCCAGGGCUUUGCCAUCCAGCUUUCUCCUCAUGUCUCUGAUCAUCAAAAUCUGCUCCACAAAUGACCUGAGAGCUGCUUAGCUGGGGAAGUACAGAUCUUUUGAAAAGAAAAUCUUGACAGACCUGAUCAGUUCAGGAUUUGAAAGUCUCCAAGACCAGCUAACCUCACUGUAGCAGGUGCUUGGUGGCUUGAACAUCUCCUAUCUAUGAAAAAUCUGAAUUUAAAACCCCUGCCUUUCAGAAGGGAUCACAGGAUGGUUUUGCAAGAAGCCCUGAAUGAAGGGCUUGUUGUGAGUACCUGCUUUGAAACUAAACCAAGUGGUGGUUUCAUCCAGUUUAGGAAGGAGUGAUGCCUUUAUCUUGACUCAAGAGAUGCUGGAGCUCCCUUUCUUUGGCUCACAUGGAGAAGCCCUCAGUAGAAGAGAAGAAUAAUGCCAGCAGCUG